UACGUAGGAUACGAGCGUUGUCCGGAUUUACUGGGCGUAAAGGAUGCGUAGGCGGAUGUUUAAGUGAGAUGUGAAAUCCCCGAGCUCAACUUGGGUGCUGCAUUUCAAACUGGAUAUCUAGAGUGCAGGAGAGGAAAGCGGAAUUCCUAGUGUAGCGGUGAAAUGCGUAGAGAUUAGGAAGAACACCAGUGGCGAAGGCGGCUUUCUGGACUGUAACUGACGCUGAGGCAUGAAAGCGUGGGGAGCAAACAGG
rnacentral:rRNA from 1 species